AGGAUCGGGGAAGUGUUGGCACAGGGAGGAGGAGGUUCAGGUGCAGGGGACGACUCGCAACAGAGCAGGCAGCGGAGCACCAAGCCCAUGUUCGAGGAGGGGGAUAGUGUUAAGCUGUCGAAUAUA
rnacentral:snRNA from 16 species